rnacentral:rRNA from 1 species
UUGAAAGACCAGUUUCCAUAUGAUCACUGAAGUUAAGCAACGUCAAGCCUGGUCAGUACCUAGAUGGGUGACUGCUUUGGAAUAUCAAGUACUGUAAG